rnacentral:rRNA from 1 species
GAGCGGCCGAUGUCCGAUUAGCUAGUAGGUGGGGUAAGAGCCCACCUAGGCGACGAUCGGUAGCUGGUCUGAGAGGAUGAUCAGCCACACUGGGACUGAGACACGGCCCAGACUCCUACGGGAGGCAGCAGUGGGGAAUUUUGGACAAUGGGGGCAACCCUGAUCCAGCCAUGCCGCGUGAGUGAAGAAGGCCUUCGGGUUGUAAAGCUCUUUCGGCGGGAACGAAAGGGGUCGUGCUAAUACCAUGGCCCGAUGACGGUACUCGCAGAAGAAGCACCGGCUAACUACGUGCCAGCAGCCGCGGUAAUACGUAGGGUGCGAGCGUUAAUCGGAAUUACUGGGCGUAAAGCGUGCGCAGGCGGCUUUUUAAGCCAGACGUGAAAUCCCCGGGCUUAACCUGGGAAUGGCGUUUGGGACUGGAAGGCUUCAGAGUGCGGCAGAGGGAGGUGGAAUUCCACGUGUAGCAGUGAAAUGCGUAGAGAUGUGGAGGAACACCGAUGGCGAAGGCAGCCUCCUGGGCCAGCACUGACGCUCAUGCACGAAAGCGUGGGGAGCAAACAGGAUUAGAU